GACGAACGCUGGCGGCGUGCUUAACACAUGCAAGUCGAACGGAAAGGCCCUGCUUUUGUGGGGUGCUCGAGUGGCGAACGGGUGAGUAACACGUGAGUAACCUGCCCUUGACUUUGGGAUAACUUCAGGAAACUGGGGCUAAUACCGGAUAGGAGCUCCUGCUGCAUGGUGGGGGUUGGAAAGUUUCGGCGGUUGGGGAUGGACUCGCGGCUUAUCAGCUUGUUGGUGGGGUAGUGGCUUACCAAGGCUUUGACGGGUAGCCGGCCUGAGAGGGUGACCGGCCACAUUGGGACUGAGAGACGGCCCAGUCUCCUACGGGAGGCAGCGGUGGGGAAUAUUGCACAAUGGGCGGAAGCCUGAUGCAGCAACGCCGCGUGCGGGAUGACGGCCUUCGGGUUGUAAACCGCUUUCGCCUGUGACGAAGCGUGAGUGACGGUAAUGGGUAAAGAAGCACCGGCUAACUACGUG
rnacentral:rRNA from 1 species